rnacentral:rRNA from 1 species
UGGGGAAUAUUGGGCAAUGGGCGAAAGCCUUACCCAGCAACGCCGCGUGAGGGAAGAAGGUUUUCGGAUUGUAAACCUCUGUCCUGGGGGACGAAGGAAGUGACGGUACCCCGGGAGGAAGCCCCGGCUAACUACGUGCCAGCAGCCGCGGUAAUACGUAGGGGGCGAGCGUUGUCCGGAAUUAUUGGGCGUAAAGGGCGCGUAGACGGCUGAGUAAGUUACUGGUGAAAGCCCAGCUUUUAAGGCUGGAAUUGCCGGUAAUACUGUUCAGCUUGAGUGCAGGAGAGGGAAGCGGAAUUCCUAGUGUAGCGGUGAAAUGCGUAGAUAUUAGGAGGAACACCAGUGGCGAAGGCGGCUUUCUGGACUGUAACUGACGUUGAGGCGCGAAAGCGUGGGGAGCAAACAGGAUUAGAUACCCUGGUAGU